CCUACGGGUGGCAGCAGUGGGGCAUAUUGCACAAUGGGGGAAACCCUGCUGCAGCGACGCAGCGUGAGUGAAGAAGUAUCUCGGUACGUAAAGCUCUAUCAGCAGGGAAGAAAAUGAAGGUAACUGACUAAGAAGCCCCGGCUAACUACGUGCAAGCAGCCGCGGUAAUACGUAGGGGGCAAGCGUUAUCCGGAUUGACUGGGUGUACAGGGAGCUUAGACGGCAGCACAAGUCUGGAGUGAAAUCCCGGGGCUUAACCCCGGAACUGCUUUGGAAACUGUGCUGCUGGAGUGCAGGAUGGGUAAGCGGAAUUCCGAGUGGAGCGGUGAAAUGCGUAGAUAUUAGGAGGAACACCGGUGUCGAAGGCGGCUUACUGGACUGUAACUGACGUUGAGGCUCGAAAGCGUGGGGAGCAAACAGGAUUAGAUACCCCAGUAGUC
rnacentral:rRNA from 1 species